GGGCGAUUAGCUCAGUUGGUAGAGCGCCUCCUUUACACGGAGGAUGUCGGCAGUUCGAGCCUGUCAUCGCCCACCA
rnacentral:tRNA from 10 species